GUGAUGAUGAACCAAGAGUACUCGCUACCUGAGACUUCUGUGAACGAGAGUCUUACCGCCUGAC
rnacentral:snoRNA from 1 species